CCUACGGGAGGCAGCAGUGAGGAAUAUUGGUCAAUGGACGAGAGUCUGAACCAGCCAAGUAGCGUGAAGGAUGACUGCCCUAGGGGUUGUAAACUUCUUUUAUAUGGGAAUAAAAUGUUCCACGUGUGGGAUUUUGUAUGUACCAUAUGCAUAAGGAUCGGCUAACUCCGUGCCAGCAGCCGCGGUAAUACGGAGGAUCCGAGCGUUAUCCGGAUUGAUUGGGUUUAAAGGGAGCGUAGGUGGAUUGUUAAGUCAGUUGUGAAAGUUUGCGGCUUAACCGUAAAAUUGCAGUGGAAACUGGCAGGCUGGAGUACAGUAGAGGUAGGCGGAAUUCGUGGUGUAGCGGUGAAAUGCUUAGAUAUCACGAAGAACUCCGAUUGCGAAGGCAGCUUACUGGACUGUAACUGACACUGAGGCUCGAAAGCGUGGGGAGCAAACAGGAUUAGAUACCCUAGUAGUC
rnacentral:rRNA from 1 species